rnacentral:misc_RNA from 1 species
GAUGAAGAACGUAGCGAAAUGCGAUAAGUAAUGUGAAUUGCAGAAUUCAGUGAAUCAUCGAAUCUUUGAACGCACAUUGCGCCUGCCAGUAUUCUGGCGGGCAUGCCUGUUCGAGCGUCAUUACAACCCUCAGGCCCCCGGGCCUGGCGUUGGGGAUCGGCGAGGCGCCCCCCGCGGGCACGCGCCGUCCCCCAAAUACAGUGGCGGUCCCGCCGCAGCUUCCAUUGCGUAGUAGCUAACACCUCGCAACUGGAGAGCGGCGCGGCCAUGCCGUAAAACACCCAACUUCUGAAUGUUGACCUCGAAUCAGGUAGGAAUACCCGCUGAACUUAAGCAUAUCAAUAAGCGGAGGA